UACGAAGGGGGCUAGCGUUGUUCGGAAUCACUGGGCGUAAAGCGCGCGUAGGCGGAUUGCUAAGUCAGGGGUGAAAUCCUGGAGCUCAACUCCAGAACCGCCUUUGAUACUGGCGACCUUGAGUCCGGGAGAGGUGAGUGGAACUGCGAGUGUAGAGGUGAAAUUCGUAGAUAUUCGAAAGAACACCAGUGGCGAAGGCGGCUCACUGGCCCGGUACUGACGCUGAGGUGCGAAAGCGUGGGGAGCAAACAGG
rnacentral:rRNA from 1 species